CUAGCCAUAAUAAGGUUUUUUAUUGACAAGGAAGUGGAAAAAAUUCAUUUAUACUAUUCUCAGAAAUGCAUGUCUGAAAAGAUGAUGUUAGUGCUUGAUGAUAGCCGGUACCUGCAAUAAAGGUAGUCACUUCCUCCACCCUCCCCGCGAGACACACACGCACACACACACCCUGUAGAAGGAGCCCACAGAUUUUUAGAAUAAGAUUAGUAGUGAUUAGAUGUUUGAAGGUUGAUAUAUAUAUAUAUAUAAUAAAAUAAAAACUUGGAUGGAUAUAAAAGACAACAAGCAAGUAUAUAAUAUACAUUAAUUGGCAAUAAUAAUAAUAUUCAAAGAUUAAGGGAAGGGAAGGUAAACCCAUAGACAAUGUCCUUGAUCCACCUGAAGCUCUUUCUGAGAGAACUUUUCAUCUUACCCUCAGCAGAAUACACUUGAUAGCCAGCCAGCAACCCUCUUCUUUCUCUUCAAUUCUGGAUCAUUCAAACUCCCAAAACUACUACUAGUAGUGUUCUUCCCUUUCUUGAUCUUACUACCCAUCAUCAUAUUAUAAGUAGCAGGUGCGUGAUUACUACUGUAACUCCUCAGAUCAUGCAUGCCAUUUGGCCUUUCUCCUCCAUUACUAUUACUAUUAUAGCUCUUACCAUCUCUACAUGAUUUGGAUCUAAAAUCCUCCAUUACCAACCCAAUCAACAACAGACCAGACCAGACCAGAGAGGGGAAAGGGGUUGGUUAUAUUGGGAUUUGCUUCAAGCUGUGAUUUGUUCUUUUUUAUUUUUUCAUUAGGCCUUUGUACCUUUUGUAACUUUGCAUUUGCAUUAGGCUGCUUUAUGGACACGUGUAAAGGUUCCAGUUUACCUCUUCAAGUAGAUCUAGGAGAGAGAGAGAGAGAGGAAAGUGUUUAGAAUGAAUUUCAUUUACGAGUAAAUUGGUCAAUUGAUAGACUCAAAAAUGAACUUUAUGCUAAUCGGAUCCGAGAGAGAGACUUUCACUCCGCCA
rnacentral:lncRNA from 1 species